rnacentral:rRNA from 1 species
UACGGGGGGGGCAAGCGUUGUUCGGAAUUACUGGGCGUAAAGGGCGCGUAGGCGGGUGGACAAGUCUCUCGUGAAAGCCCACGGCUCAACCGCGGAAUUGCGGGAGAUACUGUCUGUCUUGAGUCCGGGAGAGGAGGGUGGCAUUCCCAGUGUAGCGGGGAAAUGCGUUGAUAUUGGGAGGAACACCGGUGGCGAAGGCGGCUCUCUGGACCGGUACUGACGCUGAGGCGCGAAAGCUAGGGGAGCAAACGGG